ensembl:lncRNA
GAUGCAAAGGACUCAGAUAUAGAGAAGCAAAAAGCCAGAGUAGAAGAGGUAGAGCAUGCCCUCCAGAAGGUGAAGGAGAAGAAGGAAAAAAGCGAGACCCAGAAUGCUGCCCUGGACGCUAAGGUCCAGCAGCUUCAGCACAACCUGAAUGAGGCCCACCAAGAACAGCUACUACUGGCUCAGAAGCUGUCAUGUGUUGAUAAACAGACAUCUAUGCUAAAGGAUAGCCUAGACUGUACCCAGCGGAAGCUGGAAGAUAAGAUAGCUGAGAACAUGGAAAAGAAAGAGCUUAUCGACAAGCUUUCCAGUGAGCUCAAAGGACAUCAGAAAGAUAAAUCCACACUAGUGGAUCUACUGGAAACAGAAAGAAAGAAUAUUGAAAUGCUGACGUCAGAACUUGAAGUAUCCAAUAGGAAACACCAUGAUGCAGAAAAGGAGAUCACAGAACUUCAGAAAUCAGUGGAUGAUAUGAAACUACAGCUGUGUAAAAGCCAGGAGAAGAUGAAGGAACUCAUAGACGAGCUUGAGGAGGAAUGUUAUAUUAAUGAGAGUCUGCGAAAACAACUGAAACAGCUAGAGAGGGAGCGAGAGGACCACCAGGACUUGAGGCUGACGUGGAAGAACCAGGAGAAGGAGCUAAAGGACAAAAUUGAGGCGCUCAAGAAGGAAAUCCAAGAUGAUAAGAAACUGGAGAUGGAGAAACUGAGUGUCCUUGAACAUCAGGUCAAGAAUCUUCGGGAUCAGCAGAAACAUCCCUCACAGCAGAGAGGAACUCAGGACAAGCUUGAGGCUGUUGUGAUGUUGCAUCUCUCUGAAGAGGUUGAAGGGGUGGACUGAUUGACUGGUUAGUUGUUUAACAGCAUGGAAUCCAAAGAGGAAAUGGGUAGGAGUGGAAAGCAGGAGGAUGCCUACCUUCCCAGUGUGUGAGUGAGGAAGAGAUGAAAAGAAAGGCCAAGAAUAGUAAAAUUUCCAACCAUACUGGCUCCAGUUUUCUUUUCAAGAGAUGAGUUUCUAGAAGAUGUCAAAGAGAGGAGGAUGAGGAAAAAAGGAAUAAGAUCUCACAGGAGGAAGUGUGGAAGAAUGGACAAGACAGAGCAACAAGUGUGGGUCUGGGUGGUAGCUGAGGAGUCACUCUCUCGAGCUCUAGGCUUCAUUGCUCCAUGAGAAAUAGGAGAAAGAAAGGCUUGCUAAGAUAGAGGCUGAGAAGCAGGAUCACUCUCCAGGAUCAGCUACAACAGAAUUCAUUCCAACUAGGAUCAGUUACACAAAGUGUUGUUGAAAAGAUCCAAGAGCAGGCAGAAAAGGUGAGCAGACCCAAGAUCACCACAAUGGUGGAGAAGGGGGACAGCUCUGGAUAGGCUGUCUCUGUUCCAGCCACCCAUCUCUGUCACACAGGUAUACCAACCCAGUAAGUAACUGAUGCCUAAAAUCCUAUGACAAAGGUCUAUCCUGGGCAUCCUGGUGGAACAUCCAGCCCUUCCUAUCCUCAUGACAGAGCCAUGUUUCAGUUUCAUGUCACACUCACUAAGGCAAAGGUCACUUCUUCCUCCAUGAAGGAAGUGUUUUUUUAAAAUAUAGGCUUAAUAGGUGAGCAUAAAAAGCUGUACCUUGGAACC